CCAAAGCCAAUUGUUACACUUUUGUUCCGACAACGCAUAGCCCCGCCAACAUAAUUGUAGGAAAAGAAUAGAUCCAGUACCUACCAAGGACAAGAUGCAGUGCCGAUUCGAAUAAUAUUUGCGCCGAUUUGGAACCCCGUAAGCAGGCCGGCCAAUUUUACGACACUGGAAAUAUUUUAGGAUUUGACAACAAUUAGAUGUGUGCUGGUAUAGAACUAUUAGCUUCGGUGAUUGCGGUCGUAGUUGGGACGUCCCCUACGCCUUCCUAGAAGGUUCAAACUCACCGGACAAGCUGGACAAGUCCAUGAAAAGCAAUGGAAGCAGAAGCAAGAGAUCAAAUGCUGAUUAGGGCACGACGAGUGUUUAAGCAAAUCUGUUCGGGGAGACAAACUACUGUUCUGCUGCGAUGUACGAAUGCGCUCCAGUAGAACUGUCGCGUUUACGGAAAGUGAUCAACCCUAACUAAGUUAACAAUCAAUGCUGUCCUCGGCCAUAAACAAAUGGUUACAACCGCCCGACGCUGACUUGAAGAACGCUCCUGUUAAAGAAGCUCGCAUCGCCUUGAAGCCGCCAGUGUUAACGUGGCCCCCGAGACUUCGUCGGGUCCACCGACAAAGAAUUCGGACGGCAACACAGGACUCAAGCAGCUCACCAAGACCGUCAACCACAAACAGAGUACCACCUGGGAAAAGCUCCUUUAAAUCCAUUUGCUGACCUUUACCGCUAAUGAGUAGGUUUCUUGUACAAAGCCUAACUAAUUCAGGUGAGUACAUUCCGCAUUGUAGUUAUCACUUCCUUUAAGAAAACAU